CUGUUUUAGACGUGUACGUGAUAAAACAACAAGUGCAUCUGGAGAGUAUAGGCUACAUCCGUUUUUUCGAAAUCUACGAUUUGGCAAGCGAAAAGGCAGUCUUUGUACAACUCCUUUAUAAUCAUACAAGUUUAUGACUUUUUAUUUAGUUUACAGAGCACACGAACAUGAACAAACAACUUAUCUUGCUGCUGGCGCUCUGCCUUAUUCAAUCUAGUUCUGCUGAUGAUUUGAUAUGGCCAGCACCUAGUGGAAGAAGACGUCGCCGAUGGAACCAGAAGCUCGUAAGCAGCUUAUUCGAAGAGGAAGACGCACUCAUGAGUGAUCUCCUUACCGAGUCAUCGUAGAUCUCGAACAGAAUCGAAAGACCGACAGCCUGCAUUUGUGGUCUUUAUAUCAGAAAUAGAAAAAAAUAAACCAUAUUUAAAAGUAUUCUUGUAAAAUCAGAUUCGGUUAUUCUAAAAGUGGUUAGAACUUUUCAUGCAGCUGUAGAAACGAUCGAGUGCAUUGUGAUUAUUUUGGGGACUUAUUUUUCCACCUAUUGGAUUAGCGGCACAGCAGCACGAUGUCUAACGUAUUCCGAUAUAUAGCGACGCUAACAGUGCCGAUGUUAAAAAUGCACCUUGGAACGGUUAAAAACUUAUUUUUUAAUAUUAUUUUGUCCCUGAACGUUUUCCAGUCGGUCCAUUUAAUUAAUCGGCCUCGUUUCGACGAACUGCACAUGUGUAAGCACCGUUGCGGCGCGUGCGCAAUAGCGUCCCGUAAAAGUUCAACAUUCGAAAUAAAUAUAUUACGACCCGUAUUAACAAAAUCGACGCUUUUAAACAUAUACAGAUACGCUACGCAUUACAAAGUUUUAGAACUUUUUAUUCUUUCUUCUAAUUGUUCCCAAUUUUACAAAACGGUUUUGUAUUAUUAUAGUUGAUAGUUAUCAUAGUUAUUCUCAUCAACUAUGGUAUUAUCAUAGAUUAUAUUUGUGUUAAAUAGUUUACAAACAAUAAACAUCUUGCUGCGGAUUUCAUACUUAAGUUAUAAAUUUGUGACAGUGAGUGAAAUGUUGAAAUGGUACGCGGAAGUUAAGAACUUGUUUAUCCGCACAGUUAGCGAGGGCGCGCUCUUCUUGUUUGGCAAAAAUAGAUUCAAGAACAGCUGAGUCAACCACGAACAACUUUGAAUGCA